CCUACGGGGCGCAGCAGUGGGGAAUAUUGCACAAUGGGGGGAACCCUGAUGCAGCAAUGCCGCGUGGGUGAAGAAGCACUCCGGUGCGUAAAGCCCUGUCAGCAGGGAAGAAAAUGACAGUACCUGGACAAGAGGCCCCGGCUAACUACGUGCCAGCAGCCGCGGUAAUACGCAGGUGGCAAGCGUUGUCCGGAAUUACUGGGUGUAAAGGGAGCGUAGGCGGGAAGCCAAGUCAGCUGUGAAAACUACGGGCUUAACCUGUAGACUGCAGUUGAAACUGGCUUUCUUGAGUGAAGUAGAGGUUG
rnacentral:rRNA from 1 species